rnacentral:lncRNA from 1 species
CAUUUUUGCGGCUGGCUUCCAACAUGAACUGACUUAUAGCAAAAGGAGUUUAUAAGAAGCCUUAAUAACCUUGAGAAAUAUCUUACAAUGGACACUUUAUUGAGAUUUGAGAGCCAACUGUUACACAUUAACUAGCACACCACUGGAGUCAGCCCAACAAAUGAUUGGAAUCAGUUCCUGGUGUCCUUGCCAAAGCAUCGAGUUUUAAAUCACAGAUGACUGCCCCUGUGCCAACGAAUUCUUCUCCAGCCACCCAUCUAGCGUUAUGCUCCUUCGCCACCACACUGCGAAGAACCAGCGUCACCUGUGUUCCUUCAGCUCCUGCUGGCACACAUUAGCUUUGCAAUUCCUUUGGAGAACAGGACAGUUCUGACCAGAGCUGAGCAUAUGCCUCUCUGCUCUAGCUACGGUGAAGCCUGCCCCUGGAUGUUGGCAUCAAGGAGCAGUGGUGAGGGCAGGUCUUGAGAACAAACACCUUGCAGGACACCUACCACAGGAAGCACCACCCAAUGCCUUGCUCUCUGGCUGCACCCAUCAUAACUGACCACAGGUGAAAACUCCAG